UCCCAGCAAACAUACCUAUAUCGGGCCGAUAUCGGCUAAAUGUCGGAAUAUCGAAGUCGGCUUUCCGCCAUCGAACCGAUAUAUAUCCGAUAUAGACAAACUUGUUAAAGACAGGAUGAUAUCGGUCCGAUAUAGGUCCAAUAUACAUUUAUUUCCUGUUAUUCAAUUAAAUGAGUUUUUUUAGUAUAUUCUUCUCAAAUUCAUUUCAGCAAGAAAUCGAUGCUUUUGUAAAGAGUAAUUAAGUCGUUUUCAUAAAAAAUACUUCGGUGCUAUAUCGGCUCCAUGUCUGUUGCCGAUUUAGUCUAUAAGUGAUUUGCACAACGUGGUAUUUUUCUAGCCCACCUGCCAUCAGAAGAAGUUUGCGCUAAAACUAAAAAGAGUGGAUUUUUUCUCAAAUACUACUGGUAAAUUUAUAAAUUACUUAUGCUUUUGAAUAAAUUCAUUGUUGUAGUAUUCGGCGUCAUUGAUAUUUUGCACGUAGGUUUGGGAAUUUCAUAGUUAUCUCGCCGAAAAUUAUUUUGCAAUACAUUUUCGCGACCGUUUUUAAAUUGUUGCCUGAAAUUUAGCGGCUGAGAGAGAAAAAAUAUCAAAUUAUAAUUUUCUUUUUAUUUUUCUUAAAAGUUAUAAUUAUGAUAGAGAUGUCAAAUGAAAGUUUUAAUCAGAAAUAAUGAAACGUUGAUUACUCUAAAAGAAAUAGAUAGUGCCUGCUUGCCUUUUGAAAGGACACUUUUCUUAUUAUAGUCCUUUAGUAAUAAAAAUGUGAAUAUAUUAUUAUGUUGAUAUAUUUUCUUAAUGUUUGAAACAUUAAUGAUUCAUUUCAGGUAAAUCAUCUGUCUGUGACAUGACAAACAUACCUGACUCAGAGUGCUGACAACUGAAAUAGCUAGUUUUGGAGAAAGAAAAUGUCAUUUUAGAAGCUAAAGAUGACCAAUUGAUGCAAUACAGAGUCCUAAGCAAUACUAAGAAUGAAAUCUAGUGAAAAAGAGGGCAACAGUCAUCGAGCUGAAAUUCAAUAGCAGGAAAUAGCUCAUCUGGCAAAUGAUCAAGACAUAGUGGAAAUAAAGAACUGUAAAAAACUAAACAAUUGAAGAAGUUCAUAUAUAUUGGGACUCCUGGAGGAACCAUGCACAAUUGACACUUGACAUUAUUAACUCGUGUACAAAUUACAAAAUGCUGUUAAACUAUUCAACAUGAUAAUGUGAAAAAAGUCAGCUAUUCUUUUAAAGUUUUACUCAAACUCGUAAUAACUGGAGUAUGAAUCAAUGUGCACAAUCUAAAAUACAGUUACUAAAUAUAUCAGAGAUAACAGCUUGGCACUUUCUAGACAGAUUUUAAGUCUACAGAAUGUAAAAAAGCAAAGGAACAAGUAAGAAAAAUGACAUUGAGCUUAUUUUAUCUAAACAAAAAGUAGUAUAUACAUAGCAAGGUUGUAUUUGCCAGUCACAUGACUUAAGUAUUUUUGUUAAAACAAUUUAAUUUUGUCUGAUCUUUAUAGGAAACAUGUAAAGAUUAAUGUUUAAAUUUUUAUGUGUGUUUGCAAGGAAAUAUCGUAAGUUAAACAUACAUGGGUUUUAAACAUUGAAGUAUGUAUGUGUAAAUUAUAAAAUAUAUUGUGUAUAUGAAUUUUUAAUUUUGCUGAUGUAAUAAAAGGUAUUGCAAAAUAAAUAUAUGUUCUGUUAUACGUUAAGGAAAGCAAACCAAUAUGCUGUAAGAAAUAAAAAAGCUUAUUAUGAAUGAAGGUAACAAAUCGGCUGUAAGUCGGUACCCGAUAUCGGCAUCCGAUAUCGGCCCGACUUUGAGCCUGGUUGCACAUCCGAUGUCGAGCCGACUUCGGAUGCCGAUAUCGGGCCGACAUUGAAGAUGAUAUCGGGCCGACAUCGGUCCUAUAUGUAAUGUUUG